UACGUAGGUGGCAAGCGUUAUCCGGAAUUAUUGGGCGUAAAGAGCGCGCAGGUGGUUGAUUAAGUCUGAUGUGAAAGCCCGGGGCUCAACCGCGGGACUGCAUUGGAAACUGUAGAUCUGGAGUGCCGGAGGGGCAAGCGGAAUUCCUGGUGUAGCGGUGAAAUGCGUAGAUAUCAGGAGGAACACCGGCGGCGAAGGCGGCUUGCUGGACGGCAACUGACGUUGAGGCUCGAAAGCGUGGGGAGCAAACAGGAUUAGAUACCCGU
rnacentral:rRNA from 1 species